rnacentral:rRNA from 1 species
CAGCAGCCGCGGGAAUACGUAGGGUGCAAGCGUUAAUCGGAAUUACUGGGCGUAAAGCGUGCGCAGGCGGUCCGCUAAGACAGAUGUGAAAUCCCUGGGCUUAACCUGGGAACUGCAUUUGAGACUGUAUGGCUAGAGUGUGUCAGAGGGGGGUAGAAUUCCACGUGUAGCAGUGAAAUGCGUAGAUAUGUGGAGGAAUACCGAUGGCGAAGGCAGCCCCCUGGGAUAACACUGACGCUCACGCACGAAAGCGUGGGGAGCAAACAGGAUUAGAUACCCCAGUAGUCCCUGUCUCUUAUAC